rnacentral:rRNA from 1 species
GAUGAACGCUGGCGGCGUGCCUAAUACAUGCAGGUCGAGCGAACGGACGAGAAGCUUGCUUCUCUGAUGUUAGCGGCGGACGGGUGAGUAACACGUGGAUAACCUACCUAUAAGACUGGGAUAACUUCGGGAAACCGGAGCUAAUACCGGAUAAUAUUUUGAACCGCAUGGUUCAAAAGUGAAAGACGGUCUUGCUGUCACUUAUAGAUGGAUCCGCGCUGCAUUAGCUAGUUGGUAAGGUAACGGCUUACCAAGGCAACGAUGCAUAGCCGACCUGAGAGGGUGAUCGGCCCCACUGGAACUGAGACACGGUCCAGACUCCUACGGGAGGCAGCAGUAGGGAAUCUUCCGCAAUGGGCGAAAGCCUGACGGAGCAACGCCGCGUGAGUGAUGAAGGUCUUCGGAUCGUAAAACUCUGUUAUUAGGGAAGAACAUAUGUGUAAGUAACUGUGCACAUCUUGACGGUACCUAAUCAGAAAGCCACGGCUAACUACGUG